ACGAUGAAGCCCAUUCGGGGUGGAUUAGUGGCGAACGGGUGAGUAACACGUGGGCAAUCUGCCCUUCACUCUGGGACAAGCCCUGGAAACGGGGUCUAAUACCGGAUACGACGCGCUCGGGCAUCCGAUGUGCGUGGAAAGCUCCGGCGGUGAAGGAUGAGCCCGCGGCCUAUCAGCUUGUUGGUGAGGUAACGGCUCACCAAGGCGACGACGGGUAGCCGGCCUGAGAGGGCGACCGGCCACACUGGGACUGAGACACGGCCCAGACUCCUACGGGAGGCAGCAGUGGGGAAUAUUGCACAAUGGGCGAAAGCCUGAUGCAGCGACGCCGCGUGAGGGAUGACGGCCUUCGGGUUGUAAACCUCUUUCAGCAGGGAAGAAGCGAAAGUGACGGUACCUGCAGAAGAAGCGCCGGCUAACUACGUGCCAGCAGCCGCGGUAAUACGUAGGGCGCGAGCGUUGUCCGGAAUUAUUGGGCGUAAAGAGCUCGUAGGCGGUCUGUCGCGUCGGAUGUGAAAGCCCGGGGCUUAACCCCGGGUCUGCAUUCGAUACGGGCAGACUAGAGUGUGGUAGGGGAGAUCGGAAUUCCUGGUGUAGCGGUGAAAUGCGCAGAUAUCAGGAGGAACACCGGUGGCGAAGGCGGAUCUCUGGGCCAUUACUGACGCUGAGGAGCGAAAGCGUGGGGAGCGAACAGGAUUAGAUACCCUGGUAGUCCACGCCGUAAACGGUGGGAACUAGGUGUUGGCGACAUUCCACGUCGUCGGUGCCGCAGCUAACGCAUUAAGUUCCCCGCCUGGGGAGUACGGCCGC
rnacentral:rRNA from 1 species